ACCUGACUGCUAUCGGAUUGAUACUAAGCCAUGCGAGUCAUUGUAGCAAUACAAGGCAUACGGCUCAGUAACGCGUAGUCAACCUAACCUAUGGACGGGAAUAACCUCGGGAAACUGAGAAUAAUGCCCGAUAGAACACUAUACCUGGAAUGGUUUGUGUUCCAAAUGAUUUAUCGCCAUAGGAUGGGACUGCGGCCUAUCAGUUUGUUGGUGAGGUAAUGGCCCACCAAGACUAUUACAGGUACGGGCUCUGAGAGGAGUAGCCCGGAGAUGGGUACUGAGACACGGACCCAGGCCCUAUGGGGCGCAGCAGGCGAGAAAACUUUGCAAUGUGCGAAAGCACGACAAGGUUAAUCCGAGUGAUUUGUGCUAAACGAAUCUUUUGUUAGUCCUAGAAACACUAACGAAUAAGGGGUGGGCAAGUUCUGGUGUCAGCCGCCGCGGUAAAACCAGCACCUCAAGUGGUCAGGAUGAUUAUUGGGCCUAAAGCAUCCGUAGCCGGCUCUGUAAGUUUUCGGUUAAAUCUGUACGCUUAACGUACAGGCUGCCGGGAAUACUGCAAAGCUAGGGAGUGGGAGAGGUAGACGGUACUCGAUAGGAAGUGGUAAAAUGCUUUGAUCUAUCGAUGACCACCUGUGGCGAAGGCGGUCUACCAGAACACGUCCGACGGUGAGGGAUGAAAGCUGGGGGAGCAAACCGGAUUAGAUACCCGGGUAGUCCCAGCUGUAAACUAUGCAAACUCAGUGAUGCAUUGGCUUGUGGCCAAUGCAGUGCUGCAGGGAAGCCGUUAAGUUUGCCGCCUGGGAAGUACGUACGCAAGUAUGAAACUUAAAGGAAUUGGCGGGGGAGCACCACAAGGGGUGAAGCCUGCGGUUC
rnacentral:rRNA from 1 species